rnacentral:rRNA from 1 species
AGCGAACGCUGGCGGCAUGCCUAACACAUGCCAGUCGAACGAGACCUUCGGGUCUAGUGGCGCACGGGUGCGUAACGCGUGGGAACCUGCCCUUAGGUUCGGAAUAACUCCCCGAAAGGGGUGCUAAUACCGGAUAAUGUCUUCGGACCAAAGAUUUAUCGCCUUUGGAUGGGCCCGCGUUGGAUUAGCUAGUUGGUAGGGUAAAAGCCUACCAAGGCGACGAUCCAUAGCUGGUCUGAGAGGAUGAUCAGCCACACUGGGACUGAGACACGGCCCAGACUCCUACGGGAGGCAGCAGUGGGGAAUAUUGGGCAAUGGGCGAAAGCCUGAUCCAGCAAUGCCGCGUGAGUGAUGAAGGCCUUAGGGUUGUAAAGCUCUUUUACCCGGGAUGAUAAUGACAGUACCGGGAGAAUAAGCUCCGGCUAACUCCGUG